GGCGGAGCCCGACCAGCAGCCGUUGGCGUCGAAGGGGGAGGUCGGGUCCAGGGCGUUGUCCAGGGCCGCCCAGUUCACCAGGUCGCCGGAGACGGAGUGGCCCCAGGAGAGCUUGCCGGCGUCCCAGAACCGAGUGGCUCAAGAAUGUGGCUAGAGAUCGAUCAUACAUGGACGGAAGAUGAAGAGGGGAUAAGGUACAUACCAUUGGGAUCUGUUCGUUUCCAUCAGUGGCGCGUUCGUCCGAGCCCAGAGAUGCAGACGAGGAUCACAAAAAUUGCGUUAGAAUAUUGUGCGAAUGAUAAAAGGUUGAAUCACAGGGAAUACGCACCAUUUUGCCAAUUCUUUGCCGGCUGGAAGUGGUAGGCAGUACGGCCAUGCUGCGGGUUCUUAGUUCCAUCCAUGGCCAAGAUCGGAGAGGAGACAAAGCUAUGUGUUGGUCUGAAUUGUUGGUUUGCAAAUUGCACAACACGCCGGGCCAAGUACAAAUAGCCAUCCAAGGAUGCAGAUUUAAUCAAGUCAAUAAGACUUCCCUCCACUUGCAUGGAAAUUAUUCGUAGUUUUAAAAUGCGGUUUUGAAAAUCGCAAAAGCCAGAAGACAUCAAAGUACUAGCCGUUCAAGUGUCACGUUCCUUCUCUGCGGUCUCCGUGUGUAAUGCAAAACAUUGUUAAUUCCAGACUUAUACCGGUGGUGACUAGGAUGAGUGCUAGCCAUACGAGACUUCACCGCGUCAUUGAGGAGUUGUUUACUUCGGUGGAAAAGAACAGCUCACUACACAUUCUGUUUCGACGAAACUUCGCAAUCCUGAAUAACGCGUAUUUAGGGAUUAAUAUGUUAUCCGAUCCAGCUUCCCCAACAGUUUUUUUUACAGCAACAUUCUGGUUUUAUGGAUUCAUGAGACAAUACAAAAGAUCGAAUGAACACAAA